UAGUCUUUACAAGUUCAUGCAUACAGCCUAGGAAUAACAGAUAUAAUAAUAAUGCUCUGAAGACUUCAAAAGUGUCAGUUGUAUGACUCAAACAUGGAUGUGACUGCUGUUGUAUUUCCCAGCAGGUUACACACCGGUGGAGCUCUCUGUGUCCUUGGGCUUCCGUGGCUGCAGGAUCCCUCCAGAUGCCAGCUCAAAUGUAGUGCUGUACAACUGUCCCACAGCAUUAUCCAAGAAGAACCACUGCUUCUCAAAAAUCACCUUCCUCAUCGUUAAGAAGGAGUACCUGUGCCUGCUGGACCCCCACCAACUAAAUCGAUGUCCCAGAUGUCCUCCUGUGCCGAGUUCUUCCCUUUCUUCUUCUUCUUCUCUGGAGGCUUCAGCAGGGACAGUUCCUCUGAUCUUCUGAUGUCUGAGAGAGAGCAGGAACAGUGGAACAGUGUGGAAGAGAUCAGGGAGAAUAUGGAAGUGCAUGAUCUGACCAGUCCUGAGGAGCCUCUGCAGACAGACGCAUUAAGUUAAAUACAUGUUAUUGUCAUAUCACACGUUUGAAGGGUAUUGCACUUCCUGUACCUGUUGUGUGGGUGACUGAGCAUGAUUAAAGUCUGGUUU